UAAAAAUCAGAUUCAGGUUCAAAUUGAUAGGGAAUGGUUUCAAAUCAUAACAGUGUGAUCGAGUAGAGCAAUCUAGACAUGGUGCAGUUUUACUUCAAUUUCAUUGACUACGCAACAUACAAUUAGCAACGAGGGCACUAAGUUUAUCCGGUGAAA
rnacentral:sRNA from 1 species